UUUACGCCCGGCCGACACCGCAGACCUCGGCUACCAAAUCGCGCUUGGUUGGCAUAUCUUGCUCUCGCAAUUCCCUAACCUUGAACCCACGCUGGUUUUCAAAUGUCUGGUUUUUGCCGCGGCGUAGAUUCAGUGAUAAUUGUGGAAUUUUAUUAGUUUCACUGUAACUUGGGUGGGGUUAUCGAUAAAUUUUGAUAGUGGACCUAGAUCUUUACCGUAAUUCCUCUUGGUUCGUAAGUAUUUGUGGCGGACUGUCAGGAUGAUCAAACGGCGUGCCGGAUUGAUCGCGUCGGGGGCACAACUGAGAGCUGUGUAAGUCGUCGCGCUUCCCCGGUCGGCGGUGGUAU